rnacentral:lncRNA from 1 species
AGUUGUCAGGAGCAGUUUGUUUUUUUGUGUGAGAACACUACUUAGGCAUGUACAGGAAAAGUUAAAGACCCACUCCGAUGAAAAUCAUGUUGUCUACAUGUUCAUGUGGCAUUUUUUCUGAUGCUACAGGACAUAUCACGAGAAAAAGAAGUGCGAAAAAGCAUUUCUGAGUAUUUCUGAAGUCAAAUCGCUGUAAAUCUCUGACAGACCCAAAUGGCAGGAUCAGAAAAAGAGAGAUUUCCUAUGUAACCAAUCCAAGCUCCGCCCCCGAAGCCCCACUAUGAAGGCCAGGCUUGGAGAAAUAGAGAGGAUGAUCGCGGAACAAGCGUCUGCGUUUGCCGAUUGAAAUGCUCGUAAGAAAGCUAAUUAUGAUAUUAGCUUUCACCUUUUCCCUAAAGACAUUAGUGUGCCAGAGCUGAAAAGCUCUUAUUUUACCUGUUUCUUCUACUACACCGCUAAUGCUAGGCUGCAAGCUAACUCGAGGAGAAGUGUGCAGACUCAGAUGCGAAUUGCUAAUGAGGUACAGGAGCUCUGCAGAAGAAAAGUUCUUGAAAACGACACAGGUAACAUGAUUUUGGCUAAAAAAAAUUCAUAAUCACAAUUUAAGGACCACAGAUAACACUCUAAGUCGUAAAAUAUAUAUAUAUAUCGGAGUGGGACUUUAAGCAAAGACUGCUUUGUCUUGGGGGUGCUAAAGUUGACCCAAACUGAAAGUUCCUCACAAGAGUUUGAAGAGUGAGAAAACCUUGUUUGAACUGUGCUCUCAUAGAGGCUGCAAACAGCCUGACUGCUUUAAAAUGAUGGUGUUGCAUCUUUGUGUUUACAGUGCGUGUUUUCCUUUUUGUUACAUCCAUGAAACAGCUUUUGAACAGGCAUCCAGGUUGCUCAAUGUAGAGUCAAACAGAGAGAAGUCUGGGCUGUGCCCUCCCGUGCCUACUGAACUGGUAUCAGUGUUUUACUUGAAAACUGGCUCAGUUCAGCAGGAACAGGAGUGGGGCCCACAAACUAGCAGGAUCUUUGUUACAUCUUCAACUUCUGUUCACAGAAUAGAAGGCAGCCUGACAAAGUUUCAACAUUACUUAUGUGUUUAGUUGACCAUGACAAUGAAACAACGUGUUGGAGUUCAUUUGCCUUAAGUCGCUGACCCUGAUAAAAUCAAACCCAAGCUCUGUAGCCUGUCAAACAGCGGCGCUGAACCCUGAAGCGUACUUAAAAUGAUGGAGCUCCAGCUUGAUGUCUGUCCCUUUGCUCAAGUAUGAAUAUUUCAUGAGUAGAUUUACCAUUUUUUGCUUGAUAGGUAGGCCCUGGUACCCUCAGCUGCUUGUUUGCAUACUGUUACAUUCUGGUGCAGCUGAUCUUGUUGUUUAGCUCAGUCUUCAUGUUUAUUUCAGCACUCACCCCUUGAAAACACAUCUCUCACUUUUUUUGUCUUUCUUUGAAUCUUUUUCUUCUGUCCCUUUCUGUUGUCAAAGACCAGACUAAGACUCGAGUUCAUUGUCAGGUAAUCUCAGCAAAUUGUCUGCAGAGCCUUUAUGUCACCCAGCAGUCCCUGUUAUCCGUAACUGGGAAAGUGUCCAAUGCUGUUUCCUCAUUUGACUUGCAGCCACCAAAGAAAAAGUUUCAUCUUGGAGAUUUCAGACCCCUGGGAAGAUGAGCGCUCAUUAGUGAGCAUGAUGAAUCUGCUCUUACGCAAGAAUUCAACUGAUCCUGGUUGGCAGCAUAACAUUGUAUGUCUGUUACUUUGAAUGUCUGUGGAAAAAUGAUCCUGUUCAAACCUUAUGGACUUCAACCCACAAAAUGGUAGAGAAGUUAUUUUUCAGUGUGUCAGCAGCACCGGUCUGACUUCAGGGCAUUGUUUCAGCCAAGUGGUACCACUGAUUAUUAAGCUAUGAUUUGUGUAAGCAUUUAAUCUUACUGAAUGUGGAAGACGAUCAUGCAUGAAGUACAUUAUUCUAAAUGUCAGUAAUUUUUUAAAUGAUGUAAAAGGUGUAACUCAAUGUUUCAUUCCUUUAUUUCAAACCCAGCCGCCAUUUAUUUUAAUAAAGUGAAAAUGAGUCUGAGAAAAAAUCCUAGCAUUGUUUUUUUGUUAAAUAAUGUAGGUUAAUAUCUUUUGUGCUGAGGUGCAAGACAGGUCAGAAAGGCACGACAUAAUGAGAAAUGAC